CCUACGGGCGGCAGCAGUGAGGAAUAUUGGUCAAUGGGCGCUAGCCUGAACCAGCCAAGCAGCGUGAAGGAUGACUGCCCUAUGGGUUGUAAACUUCUUUUAUAUGGGAAUAAAGUGCAGUAUGUAUACUGCUUUGCAUGUACCUUAUGAAUAAGGAUCGGCUAACCCCGUGCCAGCAGCCGCGGUAAUACGGAGGAUCCGAGCGUUAUCCGGAUUUAUUGGGUUUAAAGGGGGCGCAGGCGGGUUGUUAAGUCAGUUGUGAAAGUUGGCGGCUCAACCGUAAAAUUGCAGUUGAUACUGACAUCCUUGAGUGCGGUGGAGGUAGGCGGAAUGCGUGGUGUAGCGGUGAAAUGCUUAGAUAUCGCGAAGAACCCCGAUUGCGAAGGCAGCCUGCUGGACUGUAACUGACGCUGAUGCACGAAAGUGUGGGUAUCAAACAGGAUUAGAUACCCGAGUAGUC
rnacentral:rRNA from 1 species